rnacentral:rRNA from 1 species
CAAUAGCGUAUAUUUAAGUUGCUGCAGUUAAAAAGCUCGUAGUGGGAUUUCGGGUGGGAAUGGCCGGUCCGCCGUUUCGGUGUGCACUUGCUACGCCCACCUUGCUGCCGGGGACGUGCUCUUGAGUUCACGCUCGGGACACGGAGUCGGCGAGGUUACUUUGAGUAAAUUAGAGUGUUCAAAGCAGGCCUACGCUCUGAAUACAUUAGCAUGGAAUAACACGAUAGGACUCUGGCCUAUCUUGUUGGUCUGUAGGACCGGAGUAAUGAUUAAGAGGGACAGUCGGGGGCAUUCGUAUUUCAUUGUCAGAGGUGAAAUUCUUGGAUUUAUGAAAGACGAACUACUGCGAAAGCAUUUGCCAAGGAUGUUUUCAUUAA